rnacentral:rRNA from 1 species
UCUUGCUACUCUGCGCUUUUCCUCAGAUCCACAUCCUCACACACGACGACUCUUAUUUGGAAGACUUGGGCGCCGCUCAGCGCAAAAUUUUUCAUCUGGUUGGCUCUUCUGGAUCUCUGUUGGACUAGCGAGUGCCUGGCAUGGCACGGCCUGCCCCACAGCCCGGCUUGCAUUUUCUGUGAUCAAGCCAACGAGUCCAUGCAACACAUCCUCAUCGGGUGCCCUAUCUCGCGCGCAGUCUGGCAUGACGUCUACUCCACCCUGCGUCUGACCACUACAAUGCCACACCCUGACGAGGCCUUCUUCUACUGGCGGCUCUCCUCUGUCAAGAGUGCACAACCAUCCAUUCGCAAGGGGGCUGCCUCCCUUAGUGUCAUUGUUGCUUGGUCUCUCUGGAAGCACCAUAACGCCUGCACCUUUGACGGCGUAACACCCUCGGCUCUCCUAGUCACCCAGGCGGUCCUGGACGAAGCUAGGCUUUGGGCGACUACGGGAGCUAAAGGCUUGAGCGUUUUCAUCUUUGAACCACCUUAA